GCCCGGUUAUCUCAGUCGGCAGAGCAUGAGAUUCUCAGUCUCGGGGUUGUGGGUUCGAACCCCACAUUGGGCG